rnacentral:lncRNA from 1 species
UUGGGGAUUAAUAUGACAGCCAAAAAUGGGAACUUAUUUAAAGAUAAUUACGAAAAAUGUUGGACGGAAGUGAAAAAGAUUUAGAAAUUUGGUCAAAUUUGAAACUCUCGUUGCUGGGCCGUAUUGCUGUGAUAAAGAUGAAUGUAUUGCCUAGAAUGUUGUUUUUGUUUCAGACAUUACAAAUUGUAGAUAAGAUGGACUGUUUCAAGAAGUGGCAGAGAGAUAUUUCUAGAUUUGUCUGGCAGGGCAAGAAGCCCAGAAUAAAAUUUAAGAUAUUAACUGAUGCCAAGGAAAGAGGUGGAUUUGCCCUGCCAGACCUUAAACUUUAUUAUGAAUCAGCAGCUUUUUGCUGGCUGAAAGAAUGGCUACUUCUUGAAAACACAGACAUUUUGGAUUUAGAAGGUUUUAACAAUGUAUUUGGAUGGCAUGCAUAUUUAUGGUAUGAUAAGGUCAAAGCACACAAAGCAUUCAAAAACCAUAUUGUUAGGAAAGCAUUGUUUAAUGUUUGGAUAAGAUACAAAGACUUAUUGGAAAAUAAAACCCCAAGGUGGCUGUCACCAAUGGAAGCAAAAGCUCUGAAAAGGCUCAAUAUGGAGGCCAAAUGGCCGACAUAUUGGGAAAUUUUGGAGCAAGAAGGAGAUAAAUUGAGAUUGCAGAGUUUUGAAAAAUUAAAAAAUAAAGUGAGAGAUUGGCUCCACUACUAUCAGAUAAUGGAGGCAUAUAAUUUGGAUAAGAAAAUAGGCUUCCAAGUGGAAAAGUCAAAAUUAGAAACAGAAUUGUUAGAACCCAAAACUAAAAAUUUGUCAAGAAUGUAUAACUUGCUGUUGAAAUGGAAUACUCAGGAUGAAACGGUGAAAUCUGCUAUGAUUAAAUGGGCACAAGAUGUUGGACAUAAUAUUAUGUUUGCUGACUGGGAACAGUUAUGGACCACAGGUAUGAAGUUUACGGCAUGUAAUGCCUUAAGAGAGAAUAUUAUGAAAAUGAUAUACAGGUGGUACAUGACCCCAGUCAAGCUUGCAAAAAUUUAUCAUUUGCCCGAUAAUAAAUGUUGGAAAUGUAAAGAAACUGAAGGUACAUUCUUUCACCUUUGGUGGACGUGCCCAAAGAUUAAGGCUUUCUGGGAAAUGAUAUAUAAUGAACUGAAAAAGGUAUUUAAAUAUACCUUUCUGAAGAAACCAGAGGCCUUUCUCUUGGGCAUUGUCGGCCAACUGGUGCCAAAGAAGGAUAGAACCUUUUUCAUGUAUGCUACAACAGCAGCAAGAAUACUUAUCGCAAAGUAUUGGAAGACACAAGAUCUACCCACUUUGGAAGAAUGGCAGAUGAAGGUGAUUGACUACAUGGAACUGGCGGAAAUGACUGGCAGAAUCCGAGACCAGGGAGAAGAGUCGGUGAAAGAAGACUGGAAGAAAUUUAAGGACUAUUUACAGAAAUAUUGCAAAAUUAAGGAACUUUAGAAGGAUGUUGGAUAGAAACUAAGAGGUUUUUAGCUGUAAUGCUUUAAGAGACAUGGGAAAAAAAGGUUAACAAUUGGGUAAAAGAUUAAUGGUAAGGAUUUGCUGAACCAACAAAUUGAAUUGGAAUACAAAGAAGGGAGGUAUGAGGAGGUCCGGGGAAAUAAGAGUAAGGAAGAUAGGUUAUGGAACAUUAUUGUGUUUUUAACUGUUUUAUUUUGUACGUUUUUUCUUAUUUUCUACUUUUUUUGUUAUAUCUUAAAACUUUAUACUUUUUCUUUAUUCUGUAUUUUCAUGUAUUUUUGUGAAACUUUAAUAAAUAUCAUUA